rnacentral:rRNA from 1 species
GAUGAACGCUGGCGGCGUGCCUAAUACAUGCAAGUCGAGCGAACAGACGCGGAGCUUGCUCCUCUGACGUUAGCGGCGGACGGGUGAGUAACACGUGGAUAACCUACCUAUAAGACUGGGAUAACUUCGGGAAACCGGAGCUAAUACCGGAUAAUAUAUUGAACCGCAUGGUUCAAUAGUGAAAGACGGUUUUGCUGUCACUUAUAGAUGGAUCCGCGCCGCAUUAGCUAGUUGGUAAGGUAACGGCUUACCAAGGCAACGAUGCGUAGCCGACCUGAGAGGGUGGUCGGCCACACUGGAGCUGAGGCGCGGUCCAGACUCCUGCGAGAGGCAGCAGAAGGGAAUCUUCCGCAAUAGGCGGAAGCAUGACGGAGCAACGCCGCGUGAGUGAUGAAGGUCUUCGGAGCGGAAAACUCUGUUAUUGGGGAAAAACAAAUGUGUAAGUAACUGUGCACGUCUUGACGGUACCUGAUCAGAAAGCCACGGCUAACUACGUG